rnacentral:rRNA from 1 species
CGGUAACAGGAAGCAGCUUGCUGCUUCGCUGACGAGUGGCGGACGGGUGAGUAAUGUCUGGGAAACUGCCUGAUGGAGGGGGAUAACUACUGGAAACGGUGGCUAAUACCGCAUAACGUCGCAAGACCAAAGAGGGGGACCUUCGGGCCUCUUGCCAUCAGAUGUGCCCAGAUGGGAUUAGCUUGUUGGUGAGGUAACGGCUCACCAAGGCGACGAUCCCUAGCUGGUCUGAGAGGAUGACCAGCCACACUGGAACUGAGACACGGUCCAGACUCCUACGGGAGGCAGCAGUGGGGAAUAUUGCACAAUGGGCGCAAGCCUGAUGCAGCCAUGCCGCGUGUAUGAAGAAGGCCUUCGGGUUGUAAAGUACUUUCAGCGGGGAGGAAGGUGUUGUGGUUAAUAACCGCAGCAAUUGACGUUACCCGCAGAAGAAGCACCGGCUAACUCCGUGCCAGCAGCCGCGGUAAUACGGAGGGUGCAAGCGUUAAUCGGAAUUACUGGGCGUAAAGCGCACGCAGGCGGUCUGUCAAGUCGGAUGUGAAAUCCCCGGGCUCAACCUGGGAACUGCAUUCGAAACUGGCAGGCUUGAGUCUUGUAGAGGGGGGUAGAAUUCCAGGUGUAGCGGUGAAAUGCGUAGAGAUCUGGAGGAAUACCGGUGGCGAAGGCGGCCCCCUGGACAAAGACUGACGCUCAGGUGCGAAAGCGUGGGGAGCAAACAGGAUUAGAUACCCUGGUAGUCCACGCCGUAAACGAUGUCUACUUGGAGGUUGUGCCCUUGAGGCGUGGCUUCCGGAGCUAACGCGUUAAGUAGACCGCCUGGGGAGUACGGCCGCAAGGUUAAAACUCAAAUGAAUUGACGGGGGCCCGCACAAGCGGUGGAGCAUGUGGUUUAAUUCGAUGCAACGCGAAGAACCUUACCUGGUCUUGACAUCCACAGAAGAAUCCAGAGAUGGAUUUGUGCCUUCGGGAACUGUGAGACAGGUGCUGCAUGGCUGUCGUCAGCUCGUGUUGUGAAAUGUUGGGUUAAGUCCCGCAACGAGCGCAACCCUUAUCCUUUGUUGCCAGCGGUUAGGCCGGGAACUCAAAGGAGACUGCCAGUGAUAAACUGGAGGAAGGUGGGGAUGACGUCAAGUCAUCAUGGCCCUUACGACCAGGGCUACACACGUGCUACAAUGGCGCAUACAAAGAGAAGCGACCUCGCGAGAGCAAGCGGACCUCAUAAAGUGCGUCGUAGUCCGGAUUGGAGUCUGCAACUCGACUCCAUGAAGUCGGAAUCGCUAGUAAUCGUGGAUCAGAAUGCCACGGUGAAUACGUUCCCGGGCCUUGUACACACCGCCCGUCACACCAUGGGAGUGGGUUGCAAAAGAAGUAGGUAGCUUAACCUUCGGGAGGGCGCUUACCACUUUGUGAUUCAUGACUGGGGUGAAGUCGUAACAAGGUAACCGUAGGGGAACCUGCGGUUGGAUCACCUCCUUACCUUAAAGAAGC